GGGGUCGACCGGAAUUGACAGGAUGGAAGAUCAGUGUGUAAGCAUGCAGCGAAUUGAGAAAACAUCGCUAUAAUCAGGAUUCUCAAACUAUAAAAGGCGAAAAUAAUUACGCUCUUGCUGCUUAAUUUUAACCGAGUUAAAAUUAGCCUCGUCUCGCUAAAGUAGCGGAAGCAGGAUGUUUCCCGGGAGUUAUGUCUGGCGACACCCGAUUAGGAAGCACCGAAAAGCCGGAAUAAGGAUAAGUUAGUUUCGAGCUUAUCCCGACAACCAAAGAAACUAAGGUUAAAGCAGGCUGUUUGUGGCCAACUUUAGCUCUAAAAUCAAUUGCAAAAUAAGCAUGUAGAAAGCGCAACUCAUCCCAUGUUUGGACGAGGGUUCGAAUCCCUCCGGCUCCACAU
rnacentral:tmRNA from 1 species